rnacentral:rRNA from 1 species
UACGUAGGGGGCAAGCGUUGUCCGGAAUUAUUGGGCGUAAAGCGCGCGCAGGCGGCCUUUCAAGUCAGGGGUGAAAGCCCGGAGCUCAACUCCGGAAUUGCCUUUGAAACUGUCAGGCUCGAGUACGGGAGAGGUGAGUGGAAUUCCCAGUGUAGAGGUGAAAUUCGUAGAUAUUGGGAAGAACACCGGUGGCGAAGGCGGCUCACUGGCUCAUUACUGACGCUCAGGCGCGACAGCGUGGGGAUCAAACAGG